ensembl:lncRNA
GACUGGUGGUUUGAACCUAAACACUUUAAGAUAGUGUAAGUGAUACAGAGGAAAACACAUGCGAUGGCCGGGAAUCGAACCCGGGUCAACUGCUUGGAAGGCAGCUAUGCUCACCACUAUACCACCAUCGCUUGCUUAUGUUCAAACAUUGGAUGGGAAAAACGAGACCUAUCUAAAGAACAGAUCAAUUUGGAAUUGCGCGGGGAGACCCCAAUGGAUUCUAGUCUAUCGCCCUGACCACUCGCCCACGACAACCUUCGAGUUCAGGUUCAGGUUCAUGGCUCCCUGGCAAAACAGCAGUCGUCAUCGAUGGAGGUUUUGAGCCCUCAUGAAGACAAGUUCACUGCAGCCAAAGCGGCUCGUCAAUUGAUUCCGUAAUGGUACAAUUUUUGGACUCAGCCUCCAAACUAAAUAAGCGAAUGAAACACCUACUUAGAAUGAAACUAUGCACACAUGAGGGGGUCAUCACUGGAAAACAGCAA